UACGGGGGGGGCAAGCGUUGUUCGGAAUUACAGGGCGUAAAGGGUUUGUAGGUGGCUCGCUAAGUCAGACGUGAAAUCCCUCAGCUUAACUGGGGAACUGCGUCUGAGACUGGCAAGCUUGAGUGCAGGAGAGGAACGCGGAAUUCCAGGUGUAGCGGUGAAAUGCGUAGAUAUCUGGAGGAACACCGGUGGCGAAGGCGGCGUUCUGGACUGUAACUGACACUGAGGAACGAAAGCCAGGGGAGCAAACGGG
rnacentral:rRNA from 1 species